rnacentral:rRNA from 1 species
UGGGGAAUUUUGGACAAUGGGCGAAAGCCUGAUCCAGCAAUGCCGCGUGUGUGAAGAAGGCCUUCGGGUUGUAAAGCACUUUUGUCCGGAAAGAAAUCCUUGGCUCUAAUACAGUCGGGGGAUGACGGUACCGGAAGAAUAAGCACCGGCUAACUACGUGCCAGCAGCCGCGGUAAUACGUAGGGUGCAAGCGUUAAUCGGAAUUACUGGGCGUAAAGCGUGCGCAGGCGGUUUGCUAAGACCGAUGUGAAAUCCCCGGGCUCAACCUGGGAACUGCAUUGGUGACUGGCAGGCUAGAGUAUGGCAGAGGGGGGUAGAAUUCCACGUGUAGCAGUGAAAUGCGUAGAGAUGUGGAGGAAUACCGAUGGCGAAGGCAGCCCCCUGGGCCAAUACUGACGCUCAUGCACGAAAGCGUGGGGAGCAAACAGGAUUAGAUACCCUGGUAGUCCACGCCCUAAAACGAUGUCAACUAGUUGUUGGGGAUUCAUUCCUUAGUAACGUAGCUAACGCGUGAAGUUGACCGCCUGGGGAGUACGGUCGCAAGAUUAAAACUCAAAGGAAUUGAC